rnacentral:rRNA from 1 species
UACGUAGGCGGAAAAUUAAGUCAGUAGUGAAAUCCUGCAGCUUAACUGUAGAACUGUUAUUGAUACUGGUUUUCUUGAAUAUAGUUGAGGUAGGCGGAAUGUGUAAUGUAGCGGUGAAAUGCUUAGAUAUUACACAGAACACCGAUUGCGAAGGCAGCUUACUAAGCUAUGAUUGACGCUGAGGUACGAAAGCGUGGGGAGCGAACAGGAUUAGAUGCCCUGGUAGUCC